rnacentral:rRNA from 1 species
GACGAACGCUGGCGGCGUGCUUAACACAUGCAAGUCGAACGGACAGGCCCUGCUUUUGUGUGGUGCUCGAUUGGCGAACGGGUGAGUAACACGUGAGUAACCUGCCCUUGACUUUGUGAUAACUUCUGGAAACUGGGGCUAAUACCCCAUAUAAUCUCCUGCUGCAUGUUGGGGGUUGGAAAGUUUCGGCGUUUGUGGAUGUACUCGCGGCUUAUCAGCUUGUUUGUGGGGUAGUGGCUUACCCAGGCUUUGACGGGUAGCCUGCCUGAGAGGGUGACCGGCGAAAUAGGGACUGAGAGAAGGCAGAGAUGGCGAAGGGAGGGAGCAGGGGGGAAGAUUGAAAAAGGGGCGGAAGGCGGAUGAAGAAACGCCGCGUGCGGGAUGACGGUGUUAGGGGUGUAAACCGCUUGCGCAUGUGACGAAGCGUGAGUGAAGGUGAUGGGUAAAGAAGCACAGGCUAAAUAAGUG